rnacentral:rRNA from 1 species
AUUGAACGCUGGCGGCAGGCUUAACACAUGCAAGUCGAGCGAGCUGCGGACGGGUGAGUAAUGUCUGGGAAACUGCCUGAUGGAUGGGGAUAACUCCUUGAAACGGUAGCUAAUACCGCAUACCAUCAGAUGUGCCCAGAUGGGAUUAGCUAGUGGGUGGGGUAAUGGCUCACCUAGGCGACGAUCCCUAGCUGGUCUGAGAGGAUGACCAGCCACACUGGGACUGAGACACGGGCCAGACGCCUACGGGAGGCAGCAGUGGGGAAUAUUGCACAAUGGGCGCAAGCCUGAUGCAGCCAUGCCGCGUGUGUGAAGAAGGCCUUCGGGUUGUAAAGCACUUUCAGCGGGGAGGCGGUACCCGCAGAAGAAGCACCGGCUAACUCCGUGCCAGCAGCCGCGGUAAUAC